CAGGCCUAACACAUGCAAGUCGAACGCACCUUCGGGUGAGUGGCAGACGGGUGAGUAACACGUGGGAACGUACCCUUUGGUUCGGAACAACUCCGGGAAACUGGAGCUAAUACCGGAUACGCCCUUUUGGGGAAAGGUUUAUCUGCCGAAGGAUCGGCCCGCGUCUGAUUAGCUAGUUGGUGGGGUAACGGCCUACCAAGGCGACGAUCAGUAGCUGGUCUGAGAGGAUGAUCAGCCACACUGGGACUGAGACACGGCCCAGACUCCUACGGGAGGCAGCAGUGGGGAAUAUUGGACAAUGGGCGCAAGCCUGAUCCAGCCAUGCCGCGUGAGUGAUGAAGGCCUUAGGGUUGUAAAGCUCUUUUGUCCGGGACGAUAAUGACGGUACCGGAAGAAUAAGCCCCGGCUAACUUCGUGCCAGCAGCCGCGGUAAU
rnacentral:rRNA from 1 species